GAUGAACGCUGGCGGCGUGCCUAAUACAUGCAAGUCGAGCGAACAGACGAGGAGCUUGCUCCUCUGACGUUAGCGGCGGACGGGUGAGUAACACGUGGAUAACCUACCUAUAAGACUGGGAUAACUUCGGGAAACCGGAGCUAAUACCGGAUAAUAUAUUGAACCGCAUGGUUCAAUAGUGAAAGACGGUGUUGCUGUCACUUAUAGAUGGAUCCGCGCCGCAUUAGCGAGUUGGUAAGGUAACGGCUUACCAAGGCUACGAUGCGUAGCCGACCUGAGAGCGUCAUCGGCCACACCUUAACUCAGCCACGAUCCAGACUCCUACGGUACGCACCAGUACGGUAUCUUCCGCAAUGGGCGCGCGCCUGACGGCGCCACGCCGCGUGAGUGAUAGCGGUCUUCGGAUCGUAAAGCUCUGUUAUUAGGGUUGAACAAAUGUGUACGUCACUAUGCACUUCUUGACGGUACCUAAUCAGAUAGCCACGGCUAACUACUUG
rnacentral:rRNA from 1 species